rnacentral:rRNA from 1 species
CGCCUGGGGAGUACGGGUGAGGUAACGGCUCACCAAGGCAUCGACGGGUAGCUGGUCUGAGAGGAUGAUCAGCCACACUGGGACUGAGACACGGCCCAGACUCCUACGGGAGGCAGCAGUGGGGAAUAUUGCACAAUGGGCGAAAGCCUGAUGCAGCAACGCCGCGUGCGGGAUGAAGGCCCUAGGGUUGUAAACCGCUUUCAGCAGGGAAGAAAAUGACGGUACCUGUAGAAGAAGGUGCGGCCAACUACGUGCCAGCAGCCGCGGUGACACGUAGGCACCAAGCGUUGUCCGGAUUUAUUGGGCGUAAAGAGCUCGUAGGCGGUUCAGUAAGUCGGGAGUGAAAACUCUGGGCUCAACCCAGAGACGCCACCCGAUACUGCUGUGACUAGAGUGCGGUAGGGGAGCGGGGAAUUCCUAGUGUAGCGGUGAAAUGCGCAGAUAUUAGGAGGAACACCAGUGGCGAAGGCGCCGCUCUGGGCCGUAACUGACGCUGAGGAGCGAAAGCGUGGGUAGCAAACAGGAUUAGAUACCCUGGUAGUCCACGCCGUAAACGUUGGGCACUAGGUGUGGGUCUCAACCAACGAGAUCCGCGCCGUCGCUAACGCAUUAAGUGCCCCGCCUGGGGAGUACGG